GUGCCAAGUUUCGUGCAGCUCGGUCGCACGGUCUAGGAGGAGUUUGGAAAAGUAGGUUUUCAAUAAAUCGCGAUUUUUCACGCAUAAAAGUCUAGGCGGAAAUGGGCGUGGCCUAUAUCACCAGAUUCAGCUGGAUCCAGGGAAUGCGUGGAUGUAU